rnacentral:lncRNA from 1 species
AUAAUAGCCUAUUAUAUUAUAGUAAUUGGCAAUAGCUCUAAAUCACUGCUAUUGCCACUGAUAGUUGUAAGUGAAGCCACUAGUCCCCAAAUUUAGAUAUCCAUUCGAAUUGAUUUUAGUAUCUUUGUAAUCCUUGUUGCUUGAAUGUUGCAAUGAAAAAUGCUUCAUCGAAAACCAAGGUUUCUUUCGCCAUAGAUCUAUGUUCAAAGCUUUGAAAAUUUGUAUCUGGUAGACCAUGUACUAUUGCUAUCCUUAACUGAUGAGGGUUUCAACAUUACCAAAAAACAACAUCAAACAAAACCAAAAUGUUGUGUUGGUAGCAGCAGUUUGCGGUGAUCUGCGGUAGUUGAUGCGACUAUCAGUGAUUUAUUUUAUUUUUAUUUGUAAAAAUUAAUUAUUAAAUGUAAUAUAAUAACAAUUGAAAUAUUAACAAAUAUACAUAAUAUUAAUUUUGUAUAAAUAUAAAAUAUUAUUUUAUAUAAUACAGUACAGUGCAACACUAAAUGUUGUAUAACAUUAAUAAAACAUAAUGUUUAUACCAUGCACGAUCAUUAAAUAAUGCAAUACUUUAUAAUGCAAUAUAAUGUGGCAAAAGUACCCAAAAGACACGCCACUAUGAAUACUUCCAAAAUUCUCCUCGCCAAACAUCCCUUCUUUCUCAUACCAUUUGUUUUUUUACUUCAAAGUAAGAAAAUUUUGGGAAUCACCGUCCCAUUGUUGAAAACUUUUGGAAGGAAAGCAGUUUGUGAUGUUAAUUUAGGUUAGGUUUUUUUACUAAAUUAUAAAAUGUAAAAUUGAAUUUUAAUUUUUGUAAUUUUAUUUUUGAAUAUUACCUAACUAAAGCCCAAUAGAUAUAAAUCCAAAGAGAAAAUGUUGUACUCUCAUUGUGUCUAUUAAAUAGGACUUACUCGAACCCACCCAUUAACUUUUAGGUGAAUUUUAUUUAACCCGCUAUUUUUGUAAUUUAAAAUAAUUCUUAUAAUAAUUUACAAAGCACACAUAUACAAUAAUACAAAAAUAAUAAUUAAUAUAAAGAAUGUUAACAUCAUCAAACGACGCAGUCUAUAAAAAUUAUGAAAAAAAAAACAUAGAAUGAGAUUUGUGGUACCUAAAAAAAAUUCGUAUUUGGUGAAGAAAAUUGACUAACAUUCAAUGCAAAUCAUACAAUCACGACUGUAAAUACUUGGAAAUUUAAGGUUUAUGAUUACUUUACAUAAAUAGUUAAUUUUAAAUAAUUUUUUCUUUAAAAUUUUAAAGUUUAAGUUAUUAAAUUAUUCAUAUCAAGUGUAAUGGGUAAUUGGUGAAAUAUAUUUUAAUGCUUAAAUACAAAUCUGACCCUUAUGGAACCCGAAGGAUUUAGUGCAGUAACACACCUUCCAUAGUUGGUUUAAUUCUUUCAUGCAUGACUAAAUCCUUCCAUAGUUCUCUUGCUUCAACAAUACUGUAUGUCUUAAUAUGAAACAAUUAAUGGGUUUGCCUUAAUGAUCCAGAUAUAGCGAUAUUAUUUUCAUUAGCAGAUAUUUAUAUAAUCUUUUGAAAUUGUUAUAUUUACCUUUAGAAAAUGAUGCAAAAUUUCAACUACUUUUGCUGGAAAGAUUUUAAAUGCAUAUGUCUUAUCAACCCGUUCAACGGGUAAAUACUUGUUUAAUCUUUAUAUUUUGACUUAAGUUUUAGUUUAAUCUCUAUAUUUAAAAAAAAUACUUUAAAUCACCCAUGUAGUUAAAAAUGUUAUAUUCUUAACCUUACUUUUUCUUUUCUUUUGUAAUAAUAUCCUUUCAAUAAUAUUCUUGACAUUAAUUAAGAAAUUAACUGAUAGAACUAGUAUUUUUUUUGUAUU